rnacentral:rRNA from 1 species
AACGAACGUUCGCGGCGCGCCUAACACAUGCAAGUCGAGCGAGAAAGGGCUUCGGCCCCGGUACAGCGGCGCACGGGUGAGUAACACGUAGGCAAUCUGCCCCUGAGUGGGGGAUAACCUUCCGAAAGGAGGGCUAAUACCGCAUGAGACCACGACCCCGCGAGGGGAUGAGGUCAAAGCCAGUCACUUCAUGAAAGCUGGCGCUUGGGGAUGAGCCUGCGGCCCAUCAGCUAGUUGGUAGGGUAAUGGCCUACCAAGGCAUAGACGGGUAGCUGGUCUGAGAGGAUGAUCAGCCACACUGGAACUGAGACACGGUCCAGACUCCUACGGGAGGCAGCAGAGGGGAAUCUUGCGCAAUGGGCGAAAGCCUGACGCAGCGACGCCGCGUGAGUGAUGAAGGCCUUCGGGUUGUAAAGCUCUGUGGAGGGAGACGAAUAAGGCAUGGCUAACAUCCAUGUUGAUGACGGUAUCCCUUUAGCAAGCACCGGCUAACUCUGUGCCAGCCGCCGCAGUAAAAC